rnacentral:rRNA from 1 species
CAGUCUGCAUGGAGCCGACCUUGAAAUACCACCCUUUAAUGUUUGAUGUUCUAACGUGGACCCGUUACCCGGGUUGCGGACAGUGUCUGGUGGGUAGUUUGACUGGGGCGGUCUCCUCCUAAAGAGUAACGGAGGAGCACGAAGGUUGGCUAAUCCUGGUCGGACAUCAGGAGGUUAGUGCAAUGGCAUAAGCCAGCUUGACUGCGAGCGUGACGGCGCGAGCAGGUGCGAAAGCAGGUCAUAGUGAUCCGGUGGUUCUGAAUGGAAGGGCCAUCGCUCAACGGAUAAAAGGUACUCCGGGGAUAACAGGCUGAUACCGCCCAAGAGUUCAUAUCGACGGCGGUGUUUGGCACCUCGAUGUCGGCUCAUCACAUCCUGGGGCUGAAGUAGGUCCCAAGGGUAUGGCUGUUCGCCAUUUAAAGUGGUACGCGAGCUGGGUUUAGAACGUCGUGAGACAGUUCGGUCCCUAUCUGCCGUGGGCGCUGGAGAACUGAGGGGGGCUGCUCCUAGUACGAGAGGACCGGAGUGGACGCAUCACUGGUGUUCGGGUUGUCAUGCCAAUGGCACUGCCCGGUAGCUAAAUGCGGAAGAGAUAAGUGCUGAAAGCAUCUAAGCACGAAACUUGCCCCGAGAUGAGUUCUCCCUGAGACUUAAAGUCUCCUGAAGGAACGUUGAAGACGACGACGUUGAUAGGCCGGGUGUGUAAGCGCAGCGAUGCGUUGAGCUAACCGGUACUAAUGAACCGU